rnacentral:rRNA from 1 species
GGCGUGAAGACCUUACCGGAUUAGCUGAGAGGUGGUGCAUGGCCGUCGUCAGUUCGUACUGUGAAGCAUCCUGUUAAGUCAGGCAACGAGCGAGACCCACGUCCACAGUUGCCAGCAUACCCUCCGGGGUGAUGGGUACACUGUGGGAGACCGCCGCUGCUAAAGCGGAGGAAGGAAUGGGCAACGGUAGGUCAGUAUGCCCCGAAUCUCCCGGGCUACACGCGGGCUACAAUGGUUGGUACAAUGGGCAUCUACCCCGAAAGGGGAAGGAAAUCUCUUAAAGCCAAUCGUAGUUCGGAUUGAGGGCUGCAACUCGCCCUCAUGAAGCUGGAAUCCGUAGUAAUCGCGUUUCAACAGAACGCGGUGAAUACGUCCCUGCUCCGUU